GGGAGUGUAAAGGGUUCGACAGACUAAUAAAAAGUAAAAAUAUCACUAGGAUAGCAACCUUAACAGCUAAAACAAUUUUAAAAAAUAAAAGAUAAAGAAUAUUUAAAAGUAGCUUAAUAAAAGCUACCCCAAAACAAUAUCCAUACUGUUGGUAAAUAUUUGAGGGUUAAGGAAUAGCAGUAGAGUUUCUUAAUUUAGAAAAAUUAAGUGGUGGAGAUAGGAGAAGUCCUUAUAAAAAUGGUGUAAAGUAUUUUUACUAAGUAGUUAAGUUUGGACGGGGGUUCAAUUCCCCCCACUUCCAUAA
rnacentral:tmRNA from 1 species